rnacentral:tRNA from 1 species
GGCCUUGUGGCCCAAUGGAUAAGGCGCCUGACUACGGAUCAGGAGAUUCCAGGUUCGAGUCCUGGCAAGGUCU